UACAGAGGGUGCAAGCGUUAAUCGGAAUUACUGGGCGUAAAGCGUGCGCAGGCGGUUAUUUAAGUCGGAUGUGAAAUCCCCGGGCUCAACCUGGGAAUUGCAUUCGAUACUGGAUAGCUAGAGUUCGGCAGAGGGAAGUGGAAUUUCAGGUGUAGCGGUGAAAUGCGUAGAUAUCUGAAGGAACAUCAGUGGCGAAAGCGACUUCCUGGACCAGAACUGACGAUCAGGCACGAAAGCGUGGGGAGCAAACAGG
rnacentral:rRNA from 1 species